rnacentral:misc_RNA from 1 species
AAGUCGUAACAAGGUUUCCGUAGGUGAACCUGCGGAAGGAUCAUUAACUAAUAAGCAAUAAUCCUUUGUGAAAUUAAAGCAAAAGGCAAAGAGGGGAGGUGAGCCUUUUGGGUGAGCCUCUUAUCGGAUCCUUUGCUUUACUUAUAUACAUUAGUGGGAUUAAAUUAAAAAAUGAAAACAAUUUUUAACAAUGGAUCUCUAGGCUCUU